GCACUCGCUUUGGCAGCACAUAUACUAAAACUGGAAUGACGCAGACAAGAUUAGCAUGGCCCCUGUGCGUAAAUUCGUGGAGCGUUCCAUAUUGUG
rnacentral:snRNA from 1 species